AAAUAUGUGAAGACAGCUCAAAAUGGCCAGAAUGGGGAUGAGACAGCGGCAGCGCACAAAAACAGAAAUGAGAUGGAUGGCAUAAGAAGGAAGAAAGGAAGGAAGAAGCGA
ensembl:ncRNA ZK377.11 ncRNA